UGUCCGAUGGUGUAAUGGUAACACAACUGACUCUGGAUCAGUAGAGUCCAGGUUCGAACCCUGGUCGGACAG
rnacentral:tRNA from 1 species